AGCGAACGCUGGCGGCAGGCUUAACACAUGCAAGUCGAACGGGCACUUCGGUGUCAGUGGCAGACGGGUGAGUAACACGUGGGAACGUACCUUUUGGUUCGGAACAACUGAGGGAAACUUCAGCUAAUACCGGACAAGCCCUUACGGGGAAAGAUUUAUCGCCGAAAGAUCGGCCCGCGUCUGAUUAGCUAGUUGGUAGGGUAAUGGCCUACCAAGGCGACGAUCAGUAGCUGGUCUGAGAGGAUGAUCAGCCACAUUGGGACUGAGACACGGCCCAAACUCCUACGGGAGGCAGCAGUGGGGAAUAUUGGACAAUGGGGGCAACCCUGAUCCAGCCAUGCCGCGUGAGUGAUGAAGGCCCUAGGGUUGUAAAGCUCUUUUGUGCGGGAAGAUAAUGACGGUACCGCAAGAAUAAGCCCCGGCUAACUUCGUGCCAGCCGCCGCAGUAAGAC
rnacentral:rRNA from 1 species